rnacentral:rRNA from 1 species
UACGUAGGGUGCAAGCGUUAAUCGGAAUUACUGGGCGUAAAGCGUGCGCAGGCGGUUUUGUAAGUCUGUCGUGAAAGCCCCGGGCUUAACCUGGGAAUUGCGAUGGAGACUGCAAGGCUUGAAUCUGGCAGAGGGGGGUAGAAUUCCACGUGUAGCAGUGAAAUGCGUAGAGAUGUGGAGGAACACCGAUGGCGAAGGCGGGUCUCUGGGCCGAUACUGACACUGAGGCACGAAAGCUAGGGGAGCAAACAGG